rnacentral:lncRNA from 1 species
GGCCAACUUUGUUCAAUUGAAGCAACAGGGAUGUGUUGAAAACCAGGCUGUUUCCACAGGUCAUUAUGAAGCUCACUCAUGGAAUUGCCAGUGGAAAAUUUCAGAGAAUCAUCCCAUGGAGCAUGGAUGUUUCAGUACAACCAAGGACAAUCUGUUCAUUGCGCUCAAAAUUUUAGAGAAAGACAUGAGAAAUGAUGAAGAAGUGGAUGAUUGACAGAGAGUUCAGCUGAGUUUCAGUUUCAGCUAUCAACAACGGGAAAAGUAAAAAACCAAAUAGGAAAAAAAAAAUUACAGAGAGUCGGAAAUUGUAUUUCACUUUGGGGUCAAAAAGAAGAGAUCCAAAUUCCCUUUGAGGAACCCUCAUCUCAAGACACCUGAUGUUAAAGGUGACAGGUGGGAAGAAAAUUCAAGGACUACACAACUGAGAUGUGCAGCAGGUAUGAGGUUUGAGGGUGAUCAUGGGGACUUCUUCUUAGUGUUUGAUCACCAUGUGUGAAGUUUUUUGCUUGAUUUGCUUGAUACUGUGAACGCUAAUUUAGCCUAGAGAUUUUGUCUUCUUAAGUAUUAUAGGUUCUUAAUAAUUUGGGGUUCUUAAACAUUUUGGGUAGGGAGAUUUUUCUUAACACUACUCUUCUUCAUUUAGACUGAUCAGGGAUUAGCUUUUAGAAGGAUUAAAAAAAAAAAAAAAACGAAUGUGACCAAGAUAGAGGUAGGAAUAAAUUCUCUAGGAGAUAGAUAUUUAGAAUGUAUUUAUAGAAUGAAAGGAGAGAGAACAAAAUGUUUUGUAGGUUUUGAUGAAUUCAGUUAAUUUAUCAGUAUGAAAAAAAUGUGGGAAGCUAUAAUAGCCUUUGAACCAUCCUGCUGCAGACCCUGAACAUGAGAAAAUUCAUUGAAGAUGGAUGAAGAAUUCUGUGGGUCAAUGUCAACUGCUAACCAUAUAAGAAAACUCAUUUAAAAUUUACCCCUACUUCUACCUUCCAUUACUAAAUUUGCUCCUCCUGUGACAUAUUUUUUUAUAGUGUUAGCUGAAAAACAAUAUUCCAGCUGAAGUGUAAUUUUAAUCAUCUCUUGAGUGGUUGAAAUGCCAUAAAGCAUUGUUAAUAAUAAAAUGACAACCUUUUGCCAGCUGAGCAUUUGCACAUUGCCUGGAGGAUAUGGAGAGAGAGAGACCUGGAAGCUGAAGGAACAGGUAUUUAUACCUGACUGAUUAUAUCUCAGUCUAUUUUAAAUUGCAGUUUAUAAUAUUAGAAAAACAUACAGAAUGAUGUCAAAAUCAAGUCAGGUCAUUGCAUUGAAGAAAAGAAAUUGACAGUACUCAUUUAGAAAACACAAUAACUAUUGGCCAGGUGACUUCAUUAUAUUGCCCCAUAGAUUUGAUAUUAUCAAUAUUCAUUGAAUCAAGCUAACCCAAAAUGGAAUUUUAUUUUAAAUUCUUUGUGAUUGAAACAAUUUGUGGAGAAAUAUGUGACUGGUUAAGUCAAUAUCCAGUGAAUGCUACAUGCAGAUAAUUCCUACAACUCUAUAUAUUUACACUAGCAUUAUUAG